GGCGACGUCGACCACGGUCCCGGACCCCGUGACUUGGCUUCGCAUCGAAGGGGUCAGGGGUUCGAAUCCCCUCGUCUCCAC
rnacentral:tRNA from 1 species